rnacentral:rRNA from 1 species
UACGUAGGGUGCGAGCGUUGUCCGGAAUUAUUGGGCGUAAAGAGCGUGUAGGCGGCCAGGUAGGUUUGCUGUGAAAACUCGAGGCUUAACCUCGAGCUGUCGGCGGAAACCAUCUGGCUAGAGUCCGGAAGAGGAGAAUGGAAUUCCCGGUGUAGCGGUGAAAUGCGCAGAUAUCGGGAAGAACACCCGUGGCGAAGGCGGUUCUCUGGGACGGUACUGACGCUGAGACGCGAAAGCGUGGGGAGCGAACAGG